AACGAAGCGAACCGGGGGAACUGAAACAUCUAAGUACCCCGAGGAAAAGAAAUCAACCGAGAUUCCCCCAGUAGCGGCGAGCGAACGGGGAGGAGCCCAGAGUCUGAAUCAGCGCGUGUGUUAGUGGAACGGUCUGGAAAGUCCGGCGGUACAGGGUGAUAGCCCCGUACACUAAAAUGCACACGUUGUGAACUCGAAGAGUAGGGCGGGACACGUGGUAUCCUGUCUGAAUAUGGGGGGACCAUCCUCCAAGGCUAAAUACUCCUGACUGACCGAUAGUGAACCAGUACCGUGAGGGAAAGGCGAAAAGAACCCCGGCGAGGGGAGUGAAAAAGAACCUGAAACCGUGU
rnacentral:rRNA from 1 species